UACGAAGGGGGCUAGCGUUGUUCGGAAUUACUGGGCGUAAAGCGCGCGCAGGCGGUCCUUCAAGUCAGAGGUGAAAGCCCAGAGCUCAACUCUGGAACGGCCUUUGAGACUAGAGGACUUGGGUACGGGAGAGGUGAGUGGAAUUCCGAGUGUAGAGGUGAAAUUCGUAGAUAUUCGGGAAGAACACCAGUGGCGAAGGCGGCUCACUGGCCCGUUACCGACGCUCAGGCGCGACAGCGUGGGGAGCAAACAGG
rnacentral:rRNA from 1 species